UCCUCUCUUCCCGAAGCCGCCGCACACCCAAUCCCCUCGCUCGCGUUCCUUCCCAAUCUCCAUCGUCUCGUGCCGCCACCACCCCCUUGUCUCUCUACUCCUCUCUCCUCCUCAUCCAGAGCAACUGCCACGCAUCCAGGCCUCCGUCUUGGAGAUGUGCUGCAGUGGAUCCAUCCACGACGCCGCCGUCGACCUCCUCCUCGGCUUGAUGAGCUCCGUCGUCUCCAUCCAUGGCUUCACUCCGUCAAUUGCGCCAGCCAGCCGGGGGCUGUGCACACCAUCGGCACCCGGAGAGCGCCUUCUCGUAUCGUUGCGAGUUUUCCGCCUCGCGCUGGACCCGAGCGGCGCCGGUGACGGCUUCAGACCUCGUCGUCCCCUGCAGGCCACCGCCAAACCGCACCAUAGGGAGCCACGACCCGAGCUGAGUCGUCGCUUGUUCGUCUCUGCCAGCCCCUCCCUUCACCUCUCUCCUCCUUGGCGCUUAUAACAAGAGAAGCAUGGCUGCUGCACGGCGGGAGUGGGUGGUGCCACCGUCCACGUCCUCAGCGUCAAGAAGUCCACAUCUAUCUAGGUGCAUCUGUCCCCUAUCUUCACCCCCUCCCCCUCGAGCAUUGGAUGGGACACAAUGCCCACGCCUAGGCCAUGCGGAUGGAUGGUGAAGAGGAGCAGUUGUUAGACACUGUCGUGGCUGUCAGGUUGUGAUGCCUAGGCCCUGGAGAUUAACAACGACGAGGAGUAGAUUUUGUCCUCCGUUCCUGGCUCGUGAUUGGGCUAGCAACUGCGGAGCGUUUGACCAGUAACACGGGAAGAUGCUGUAGAAGAGGUCGUUUAGCUUUUGCACAACAUGAUCUUCCCACAAAGCAAUUUUCCCUAUUGGAGUGGACAACAUGCUACUGUGUUCAUCUACCUGACAUGCUUUGGAUUUUGUCAGGUUCAUCACCUCAUUUACUGGUACUUCAUUGAAAAAUAAUAUCCGAGAGUACCACCAGAGAGGCUAUAUAUGCAAGCUAUGAACAUUGAAACGAGCAAAUCCCAGCUGUACAUUCUCUUCACUGCGUGAGAUACAAAAGAUCACAACUCAUAUUGGAUUUAUAAGGUGGGUUUUUGAUUACUGUUACUUUAACAUACCUGCUUCAUUGAAGUGCAGAGAGACACCAAAGAAAACAUGUAUGUGCUCCUUCUUACCAGCUACAAGAAUCAUCUAUUUCAUGUUAUUUCACUAGGAUUAUAUCCUCCUAUUUGCUACAGUUUCAUGCUCAUCUGGUAUGUUGCCGGUUGAUUUGGCAUUAUUGCUAGGUAGCUAUUCCUUGUGAAAAUAUAUUGUACACCAAAAUAAUUUGGAAAAAUAAAUUAAUAGUCAGUUCUUAGACAUGUGUCAGAUAAUAUACCUAAUACUGAAACAUAUGGUGAACAUGAUGGUGCUACUGCUGCAGCUUCAUCUGCCUCUUUUCCAUCUUCCUUCUUUUAUUAUUGAAAUUCAGAGUUAGUCACAACUCAUGGGUGCAUGUUUUAUUUUCAUGUUCUGAAGCAUAUACGAUAAGGAUCAUCCAUCUUAAUAAUUUUGACGCUGCCGUUCUUUACAUUUCGCCUCUGCCAGAACAGUAUUGUGCGAUUAUAUUUAUUGUAUAGCCUGUUUAUGGAUAUCUCAUUUAACUGUUUUGUGCACAUGCGACCAGUUUGCUCUUUCUACUUAUUAGUUAACCAAGGUAUCUAAAAGUUGCGCAAUUAGUAAUUUGGUUUUACUCGACUAAUACUGCCAUCGAUAUAUGGAGGUUGGGAUCCUAUAUAGCAGAAUGAUUUCUCUUUACUUGAUUAUCAUGUAUACCUUCUCUUAGGGGAUUAAGCAAACAUUUUCCUAUGCUGUAACUGCUUAGUGUUUUCAUAUUAUCUCACUAUUGCUCUACAUUUUGUGGCAACAAUAUGAAUUCAACAGUACGGAUUAUGUGAAUAUUUGUUCACAGCGUCUUUCAGGGAGCAGCAGCGCCAAGAAAAAUACUGUGACAACAAUUUGUCUACCUAAGGACACCAACUUGUAUUCAACUUGAUCUUUUGGUUUGACCAUGGUGUGGUAUAUGGCGUCUACAGCGAGUCACGGAGUGGCCUGAGCCCGCGAAAGGUUCAUAAGAGACAUGCUGCUUUGGCUUGAGCACAACACAAGGUCUGAUUGAGUUCAGGUGUGAGAGCAAUAGUAAACAUAAUUGGGUUCAUAGUGUAAAAACUCUGCUCCAGCAAGUUGAUGUAACUGAUCAGCGUUUUGAGAAGGAAAAGGUCAUCUAUACAAUGGGUGUACCAAAAUGGAGUCCGCGGUUCAGCUGAACUAAUGUCAUUGCUACAUGUGAAUCUAUUGAUGGAUCUUACCCGAUACCUGGUUAGCUGACUGAAAUGAUUGAACAUAUUUUCCUGUAUAUGGAUUCAUAUGUGAAUCUAUUGAUGGAUCUUACCUGAUACCUGGUUUCCUAACUGAAACUGAAUCUCCGCUACUUCUCACACCGAUCUUAAUUUGACACUCGGUCUUUAUUUGUGUCAUUGUUCUGUGAUAACCUAGAAAGUUGUAUUUUCCCUUAAAAUAUGUUAGAUGAUUCUGUAAUGAAGUCUGAAAUUAUUGUUGCAUUGCGCAUUUGUUUCUGUUGUCAUCUACCUAACUGUUGGUUGUCAGACUUUUGCUUUUGUCUUUGAUUGAGAGGAAUAUAUCUAUUUUGGUAGUUGUAGUUUCUCUGCCUUAUUCUUAGUGUAGAUAUGCCAGCUUUUUAAGUAGAGUCACAUGAGGUGAUUUAGACGAGUG